UCCGAGUUGACCCCGGCAGUCUCAUAUGAGUUCCCAACUGAAUGCUGGCAACUAAAGAUAAGGGUUGCGCUCGUUGCGGGACUUAACCCAACAUCUCACGACACGAGCUGACGACAACCAUGCACCACCUAUCACCGGCCCCGAAGGACACCGUAUCUCGACGGCUUUUCCGGCAUAGUUCAACCCAGGUAAGGUUCUUCGCGUUGCAUCGAAUUAAGCCACAUGCUCCGCCGCUUGUGCGGGCCCCCGUCAAUUCCUUUGAGUUUUAGCCUUGCGGCCGUACUCCCCAGGCGGGGCACUUAAUGCGUUAGCUACGGCACGGAACCCGUUGAUAAAGUCCCACACCUAGUGCCCAACGUUUACGGCGUGGACUAC
rnacentral:misc_RNA from 1 species